GGCAGUGUGGUAUAGUGGUUUGAGCAUUGGACUAUGACACUAGAGAACAGGGUUUGAAUCCUUGCUCAGCCA